AUUGAACGCUGGCGGCAGGCCUAACACAUGCAAGUCGAGCGAGCGGCGGAGGGGGGAGUAAUGUAUGGGGACUGCCCGAUAGAGGGGGAUAAAUCCAGGAAAAGGUGGCUCAUACCGCAUACUGUCGGAGAAACCAUAUGGGAUUAGCUAGUAGGUAAGGUAAUGGCUUACCUAGACGACGAUCCCUAGCUGGUCUGAGAGGAUGAUCAGCCACACUGGGACUGAGACACGGCCCAGACUCCUACGGAGGCAGCAGUGGGGAAUAUUGCACAAUGGGCGCAAGCCUGAUGCAGCCAUGCCGCGUGUAUGAAGAAGGCCCUAGGGUUGUAAAGUACUUUCAGUCGGGAGGCGUUACCGACAGAAUAAGCACCGGCUAACUCCGUGCCAGCCGCCGCGGUAAUAC
rnacentral:rRNA from 1 species